GGAGCUCAGGUGCAUGCAAUGUACCUGAGUGAUUGGAAGGGCUGGAGCCAGGAUCUAUCCCUUCCAGCACCUCAUUUAAGGGUGGGCAGUGGAGGAGUAGGUGUCUUGCUGGAGAUUCCUAUUUACUUGAGGCCUUUUAAAGCCCAAUUCAUGGAGCUGCAGCUGUUCUUAGUCUUCUAAUCUUGUUGUCUUGGAAGUGGAGUCCAGGUGACUGCAUGGGGAACAAAGACCAUAUCCUUUAUCUUCAGACUGCAAGUCCAUCCGUGAAUUCAAGAGUGUGGCAGGCCGUGUGGCUUGAGGGCCAGCUCUGCAAAUAAAUAAUCUGCUGACCGCUUCAGCAUGUUGAUGUGGAAAAGCUGAUCUCACUCGAAGAGUUCUUUAUGAGUUUCCCACAAACAAGCAAAUGGAGCAAAUAUAUCUGAGUAGCAGGUGCAGUACUUUGGAUCUGCUUGGACAGAUGUAUGUGAAGACAACCCAAGGCUGUCCUGUUUCCACAGUAGAGCGUUUAGAGCAGCUCUCCAUCACAAUAGCCAAAGAAGAGAAAAACAUCACUUUGAUUCCUAUUUUUCCUCCCAGUCCUGUUUGUAAUUCCUUUAGGGAUUAGCUGGAAUUUGACUCUGUCAGUCUUUUCUCUCUUUUUGCCUACUAAAAAAAUAUUACCAUGUCAAGGAAUGCAGAAACCUUUCUCCCUUUGGCAUGAAAACUUUUGCAUAACCAAUGUGAUCUGUGCCAUUACACUUGAGCAGGAUUGUGCAUGUACAAUGCAAUAAAAAAAAAUUGAAAAGAAAUUUCAAUGACAAACCCCUUGGAAAAGAUUGCUUUGAUAUCCUGUCAUAUGUAUAAUUUCAGUAUUUUUUUCUCCCCAGUGAUUUAAAUUAAUUUGAAUCAAAUCAUUAGGCCCCAGACUGGUACUGAACAUAAUGACUCAUCCCUAAAUUAAUAUUGUCUACCCUGAACUACUCCUGUCUAAAUCACUGAAAGACUCACGCUACUCACAAAGUCAGCUACAUUCAAAUGAGUUCUGCAACAGUUCAUUAGGUAAUGAUGUAAUUUAUGUGCCUGGGCCAGCAAAGGCUUUUUGCUCUGGCUUAAAAUGGACAAAGUAUGGGUAAUUAAACAGGUGUUUUGUAAACUUCUGACAUUUCCUUGUGCAGGAGAAAAAGAGGAAAAAAAAAAAAAAAAAGAUUAAUAAUCAGAGUUUGAAUGAGGACAAAAUGCAUCAAACAAUACUGCAGGAUUUUCCAGUGCCAGCCUUUCUUCUUCCUAGUAUAGCGAGGCUUUAUGUAAGGAACAUGCAUCUCUUUCAGCAUAUUCUGUCUUAUAAAUGAUGUACUUGACACCAGCACUUGAAAGGAGCUAUACUAAAGGGAUCUGUUAGCAUGAGGAAUAAAUGUGUGUAAUUAGACUGGGUUCAGUGUCUAGGUGAAACCCUUGUAUAGCAGAAUUCAGUCAUUUUAGAGUUGUGCUGUACACUGAACCUCUCACAUCGCGUUAUCACCGUGCCAUCCAUUGUAUUUCAACUGCCACGAUGGAGGAGCAACUGGUAACAACACACCAAGAGCAACUUACAGAGGGAGUCUCUCCUGAAGGUCUUAAAUAGUAUAGCCCUAAUAAAAUAAAUGGGGAAUUAAAAGUAUUAUCAGCUGAGCAUAAAACCUUUCUGGUCUUAAUUGUUACUGUUUCUCUUCUCCCUUCUGAUUAUCAUCUUUGGACAAUGGCUAUUGUGAAGUGUUACCGAGACUACCAGUAAAUGGACUUCUUUCCUCAUACCCGUGUGUUGACAGGGUUUGGCAUCUCAGAGUUAAGACUUUUAGUAAUCUUGGCCUCCGUACUGGAAGAAGCUGUCAGUUGUUCCACAUAAUG